rnacentral:lncRNA from 1 species
GAGACACAGCGAGACUCCGUCUCAAAAAAAAAAAAAAACCUGCCCUGAAGGAAUUUAUAAUCUAAUAGGGAGGGACAGAUGAUAAACAAAAGUUAGUAAAUUAUAUAGUAAGUUGGCUCUCCAUAUCCAUGGAUUCCACAUCCAUAGAUUCAACCAAUCAACUGUAGAUCAAAAAUAUUUUUUAAAAAUAAUAAAAAUUGUAAAACUUAAAAACCAUUACAGUAUAACAACUAUUUACAUAGUAUUCACCUCAUAUUAGGUAUUAUAAGUAAUCCAGAGAUGACUUUAAGUAUACAGGAGGAUAUGUGUAGGUUAUGUGCAAUUACUAUACCAUUUUAUAUAACAGACUUGAGUAUCUGGGGAUUUUAGUAUCCAUGGGAGUCCCCAUGGAUACUGAGAGACAACUAUAUAUUAUAAGCUGAUAAAACUGAAUAAAAACAUAAGGGGCAAGAGAGAGUGCUGUAAAUGUGUGUCAGUGAGUGUGUGUGUGUAUGUGUGUAUAUGUAUGUAUAUGGGGAGGGUGCUACAAUUUUAAAUAGAGUAGUCAGGAAAGGGCCCACUGAAAGGGUGUCAUCUGAGGAAAACUGGAAGGAGGUGAGAAAUGAAGCAUUCCAGGUAGAGGGAACAGCAAGUGUACAGGAUCUGUAGCAGGAGCUCAUCUGGUGUGGAACAGCAAGGAGGCCAAUGCGGUUGAAGAGUGAUGAGGGUGUGGGCCAGGCUCGGUGGCUUAUGCCUAUAAUCCCAGCACUUUGGGAGGCCAAGGCAGGCAGAUCACCUGAGGUCAGGAGUUCGAGACCAGGUUGGCCAACGUGGUGAAACCCUGUCUCUACUAAAAAUACAAAAAUUAGCCGGGCGUGGUGGUGGGCACCUGUAAUCCCAGCUAGUUGGGAGGCUAAGGCAGGAGAAUUGCUUGAACCCAGGAGGCAGAGGUUGCAGUGAGCCAAGACCGUGCCAUUGCACUCCAGCCUGGGAAACAAGAACAAAACUACAUCUCAAAAAAAAAAAAAAAAAAAAAAAAAAAAAGAAGACUGAUAAGGGGAGAUGGUUGUAGGAGAUGAAGCCUGAGAGGUAAGAGGAAGCCAGAUCAUGUAGGGCACUGCAGAACAUUCAAGAAGUUUGACUUUUACCCUGAGAUGAGGAAUGACUGGACAGUUUUUGUUUGUUUGUUUGUUUUUUGAGACAGAGUCUUGCACUGUCUCCCAGGCUGGAGUGUGGAGGCGCAAUCUCAGCUCACUGCAACCUCCGCCUCCCGGGUUCAAGCAAUUCUCCUACCUCAGCCUCCCAAGUAGCUGGGAUUACAGGCAUGUGCCACCACAACCAAGUAAAUUUUGUAUUUUCAAUAGAGACAGGUUUCACACUGUUGGCCAGGCUGGUCUUGAUCUCUUGACCUCUGGUGAUUACAGGCGUGAGCCACCAUGUCCGGCCAUGACUGGACAGUUUUAAGGAGGCUUUGACUUAUGUUUAAAAAGGAACAAUCUCUGGGUUUAGAUAGCGGCGAUGGCUGCAGAACUUUGGGAAUAUACUAAGAAACACUGAAUUGCACACUUUAAAAGAAUGAAUUUUAGGCUGGGCGCAAUGGCUCAUGCCUGUAAUCCCAGCACUUUGGGAGGCGGAGGUGGGCAAAUCACGAGGUCAGGAGAUCGAGACCAUCCUGGCUAACAUGGUGAAACCCCGUCUCUACUAAAAAU